rnacentral:rRNA from 1 species
UACGUAGGGGCCAAGCGUUGUUCGGAUUUACUGGGCGUAAAGGGCGCGUAGGCGGCGCGGUAAGUCACUUGUGAAAUCUCUGAGCUUAACUCAGAACGGCCAAGUGAUACUGCAGUGCUAGAGUGCGGAAGGGGCAAUCGGAAUUCUUGGUGUAGCGGUGAAAUGCGUAGAUAUGACAUAGAACACCAAUUGCGAAGGCAGCUCGUUACACGAAGAUUGACUCUGAGGCACGAAAGCGUGGGGAUCAAACAGG